UCGUAGUCGGGUUUCGGGUCGGGCCGAGCGGUUUGCCGAUGGGUAUGCACUGUUUGGCGCGGCCUUCUUUCCGGAGACCGCGGCUACUCUUAACUGAGCGGGCGUGGGAGACGGAUCGUUUACUUUGAAAAAAUCAGAGUGUUUCAAGCAGGCAGCUCGCUCUUGCAUGGUACAGCAUGGGAUGAUUGAAUAGGACUCCGGUGCUAUUUUGUUGGUUUCGAACACCAGGAGUAAUGAUUAACAGGGACAGUCAGGGGCACUCGUAUUCCGUCGAGAGAGGUGAAAUUCUCAGACCAAUGGAAGACGAACCACUGCGAAAGCAUUUGCCAGGGAUGUUUUCACUGAUCAAGAACGAAAGUUAGGGGAUCGAAGACGAUCAGAUACCGUCGUAGUCUUAACCAUAAACCAUGCCGACUAGGGAUUGGAGGGUGUUCGUUUCGACCUCUUCAGCACCUUACGGGAAACUAAAGUCUUUGGGUUCCGGGGGGAGUAUGGUCGCAAGGCUGAAACUUAAAGGAAUUGACGGAAGGGCACCACCAGGAGUGGAGCCUGCGGCUUAAUUUGACUCAACACGGGGAAACUUACCAGGUCCAGACAUUGUUAGGAUUGACAGAUUGAGAGCUCUUUCUUGAUUCGAUGGGUGGUGGUGCAUGGCCGUUCUUAGUUGGUGGAGUGAUUUGUCUGGUUAAUUCCGAUAACGAACGAGACC
rnacentral:rRNA from 1 species